GUGCAAUUGCAAUGCAAAAACCAAGUUACUUGCACAUACUUGAUAUGAGCCAUAAAAUCCAUUUUAUAUGCAUGGUGUUCACCUAUAUGAUUAUUAGACGCUUUAUAAUUUACAUCUUGUGAAAUUGUGGCCAAGGUUUUCACUAUCAGAAAUAUUAUCCAGCCAUUUUCACUUUAAAAGAACUUGUGAGAUAAGAUACAGAGGUUUUCCCUCAUUUUCAUGAUUAAGUCUACCUACAAUUUUGAAUGAAUUCUUUUUUGGUUUCUCAUUAUUUAGGUGUGUUAUCUUUUCAGCUUAUGUUGAAUCUGUCUUGAUCAG
rnacentral:misc_RNA from 1 species